rnacentral:misc_RNA from 1 species
GAUGAAGAACGUAGCGAAAUGCGAUAAGUAAUGUGAAUUGCAGAAUUCAGUGAAUCAUCGAAUCUUUGAACGUACAUUGCGCCCCCCAGUAUUCUGGCGGGCAUGCCUGUUCGAGCGUCAUUUCAACCAUCAAGCCCUGCUUGUGUUGGGGUCCUGCGGCUGCCCGCAGGCCCUGAAAACCAGUGGCGGGCUCGCUAGUCACACCGAGCGCAGUAGCACAUCUCGCUCAGGGCGUGCGGCGGGCUCCAGCCGUUAAAGCACCCACCUUUCGCAAGGUUGACCUCGGAUCAGGUAGGAAUACCCGCUGAACUUAAGCAUAUCAAUAAGCGGAGGA